CCCAAAAAUUCUGGAAAGUUAUUAACCCUAAUAACUCCCAGCCAUUAGCUCUGUUUGACGAUCAAAACCAUCGUAUUCCCGAUUGCGAAAUUGCUGAACAACUUAACCGUACUUUUUCUUCCGUCUUCACAACUGAACCUGUUAACAUAUUACCUCGCUUCCCUCUUUCGGAUCAUGCAGUCAUGCCUGAUAUUACCUUUUGUCCUUACGGCAUUGAGAAACUAAUUGAUUCAUUAAAACUUACAUCAUCGUCUGGCGUCGAUGAAAUAAAUGUUAAAAUGCUGAAAAACACCAAAACAAAUGUGAGCGCGAUGUUAUGUGCUAUUUUUCAGCAAUCAUUGUCAUCAGGAGUGGUGCCGGAAGACUGGAGAGUAGGCAAGAUUGUUCCAGUCCCCAAAAAAGACAGCCGCGCCUCAGACGGUGGCACCAAAAUGGAAGUGAUCUGUUUCAUCGUGGACGCCGUCAAAAUCGUGGCGGAUUCGGCUAAUGGUGUGUGCUCGAACAUGGUGGCAGCCACAAUAGGAGGCCUCAAAAAUGCAAAAGACCGACAUCGGAAAGGUUUGUACGACUUGGUGCAUGGAGAGCUUGCGCCAUUGUCCUUGCCAUCGCUCUGGUGGUCACCGUCAGGACACCAUGACCCGAAUCUCGAUGAGCCGGCAGCCUAAGCAAAGAGCAAGGACGGCCCUGCCACUGGUUUGUGCGGCUUGGUGCAUGGACAGCUUGCGCCAUUGUCCUUGCCAUCGCUCUGGCUGUCACCCUCAGGACACCGGCACCACGACCCGGAAUAUUUGGGCUGGCCUGCAUUAUCGACGUGCAUCUUCUGCGGGCUUUCUUUGCUGGUCCAGAAAUUAGUUAUCUACGUCAAAUGUGACGGUGGCACCAAAAGUAAGCAGAUGUGCUGAUUGGCCAACUUAUUCCAUCUGCAGUGCUUCCGUUUCCAUCUGUCCCCAAGUGUUGCGCUGUACAGCCGGCCGAUUCCUUAGCAUAUUAAAGUGUAAAGUUGA